rnacentral:rRNA from 1 species
GAUGAACGCUGGCGGCGUGCCUAAUACAUGCAAGUCGAGCGAACAGAUGAGGAGCUUGCUCCUCUGACGUUAGCGGCGGACGGGUGAGUAACACGUGGAUAACCUACCUAUAAGACUGGGAUAACUUCGGGAAACCGGAGCUAAUACCGGAUAAUAUAUUGAACCGCAUGGUUCAAUAGUGAAAGACGGUUUUGUUGUCACUUAUAGAUGGAUCCGCGCCGCAUUAGCUAGUUGGUAAGGUAACGGCUUACCAAGGCAACGAUGCGUAGCCGACCUGAGAGGGUGAUCGGCCACACUGGAACUGAGACACGGUCCAGACUCUUACGGGAGGCAGCAGUAGGGAAUCUUCCGCAAUGGGCGAAAGCCUGACGGAGCAACGCCGCGUGAGUGAUGAAGGUCUUCGGAUCGUAAAACUCUGUUAUUAGGGAAGAACAAAUGUGUAAGUAACUAUGCACGUCUUGACGGUACCUAAUCAGAAAGCCACGGCUAACUACGUG